CCUACGGGUGGCAGCAGUGAGGAAUAUUGGUCAAUGGACGAGAGUCUGAACCAGCCAAGUAGCGUGAAGGAUGACUGCCCUAUGGGUUGUAAACUUCUUUUAUAAAGGAAUAAAACGAGGCACGUGUGCCUUUUUGCAUGUACUUUAUGAAUAAGGAUCGGCUAACUCCGUGCCAGCAGCCGCGGUAAUACGGAGGAUCCGAGCGUUAUCCGGAUUUAUUGGGUUUAAAGGGAGCGUAGAUGGGUUGUUAAGUCAGUUGUGAAAGUUUGCGGCUCAACCGUAAAAUUGCAAGUGAUACUGGCAGUCGUGAGUACAGUUGAGGUAGGCGGAAUGCGUGGUGUAGCGGUGAAAUGCUUAGAUAUCACGAAGAACCCCGAUUGCGAAGGCAGCUUACUAAACUGUGACUGACAUUGAUGCUCGAAAGUGUGGGUAUCAAACAGGAUUAGAUACCCUUGUAGUC
rnacentral:rRNA from 1 species